rnacentral:rRNA from 1 species
GACGAACGCUGGCGGCGCGCCUAACACAUGCAAGUCGAACGAGCGAGAGGAGGUUUACUUUCUUGAGCGAGUGGCGAACGGGUGAGUAACGCGUGAGGAACCUGCCUCAAAGAGGGGGACAACAGUUGGAAACGACUGCUAAUACCGCAUAAGCCCACGACCCGGCAUCGGGUAGAGGGAAAAGGAGCAAUCCGCUUUGAGAUGGCCUCGCGUCCGAUUAGCUAGUUGGUGAGGUAACGGCCCACCAAGGCGACGAUCGGUAGCCGGACUGAGAGGUUGAACGGCCACAUUGGGACUGAGACACGGCCCAGACUCCUACGGGAGGCAGCAGUGGGGAAUAUUGCACAAUGGGGGAAACCCUGAUGCAGCGACGCCGCGUGGAGGAAGAAGGU